rnacentral:lncRNA from 1 species
CCCACAUUCUCCGGCUUGCCAGCCCAGGCCUUGAGGGUACUCUGCUGAAGAGCACGUCCAAAGGAAAAGGAUAGAGACCAUGGCUUCUUGGUGUUUAGUUUGUUCAUGGCAUUGAGGUUGAGGGUGGCCUCCUCCUCACUCUGGCCACCAGACAAGAAUACAAUAGCAGGAACUGCAGGGGGCACAGUACGUUGAAGUGCACGGACUGUGUACUCGGCAAUAACCUCAUGUGCAACCUUGGGAGCUUCUGAUCCAGGAGUAACCAUGUUCGGCUUCAAGAGAGUACCCUCAAGUAUGGCAUGGUGAUCAUUGAGAGCUUUGUAGCAUGCAGCAAGAACACGCUCUGUUACUGCGGCACACUUCUCAAUAUCGUGAGAACCAUCAACCAAGAUUUCAGGCUCUACAAUGGGGACCAAGCCAUUUUCCUGGCAGAUGACGGCAUAUCUGGCUAAACCAUAGGCAUUCUCAUGGAUGGCCAGCUCAGAUGGCUCAUUGGCACCAAUAUUGAGCACAGCACGCCAUUUGGCGAAACGUGCACCAGCUUCGUAGUACUUUGCGCAGCGCUGGCCAAGGCCAUCAAGACCCUGAGUUGUGGUCUCACCGUUUGUGCCAGCAAGCUCAACGGUACCCUUGUCAACCUUGAUACCAGGGAGAACACCACCUUCCUUCAAGACAUCAACGAAGGGCUUGCCUGCGUGCAAAACAAUUGAGAUGAAAUACUUAUAAAACACAGGAAACAGACUACAAAAACAGAAAACACAGCGGAAAUUGGAAAAAGAAAAGCAGAUCAACAUCGGUACCUGAUGCAGUCUUUUGGUAGAGAGUUUCCUCAAAGAGAAUAACUCCGCUGAGGUAUUGAAGAGCACCAGGGGCGCAGAAAAGGAGCUCACGAAGGGCUCGCCUGUUUUCCUCAACAUUCUCAACAUUAAUACUGGAUAGACGCUUGCCAAUUGUGCCAGUUGACUCAUCAGCAGCUAAGAUACCCUUCCCAGGGGUGCCAAUGUAGGCAGCAUUCUUAAUGAGUUCAUCUGCAAAAUUAACAAAUCAUUAAGUCUAUAAUAAGUGGAAAAUCGAAAGAACAAUCUUAUAAAUGUAAAUAUGAGGAAUUAAACAAUUCUUAAUCAUUUAUAAUUAAUAAAACAGACAAUUAAAAAGAAUCUGUAGCUCGGAUCUAAAUUUAAAUUUGAAACAUACUGGAGUAAUGGGAAAAAUAGAUCUGUAAACCUUAGAUUAUAAUAAUAAAAUAGAAAAGACCCGAUCUGAUUGUCCAAACUGACCGUUCAAAAACAAAACAUGCGACAGACGGAUAUCAUGAAUAAAGAAAUACUAAUGAACAGGAAAUCAGAUCGGAUCAAUCCUAGAUUCAAAAACAACAAUAGAGACAGCAAGAGCCUAACCACAACACUUAAAUCUUGAGAUCAUGUUGAAAAUGGAAGUAAGCUAAAUUUAAUUAACAGAUCUGAAAUAAAAAUAAACUAAAUUAAUAUAAGUUUUAGAACAAUAUUUUAGAACAAGAAGGAAUAGGAGAGGAGGAUUACCAGCGUAUUUGCUCUUGAAGCAAGACAUUUUUGCAGGAAGAAUAGUUCGGGGAGAUCAAUGAAAGAGAGGGAGGCGAUGUGGGGAGGGAUGAAAGGGGGUUGUGAGGGUUUAUAUUUUGAAAUAGGAGUAGGCGAGUAGCCAAGAAAGGUCAGUGAGAGCAUCGAAAUUGUCGCUAAUUGUUGGCUUUUUUUCCACGUAACGCCCUGCUGCCGUUGGAUAUCACGUCUUCCUUUUUUUUCUCUUUGUAUUUUAAAAUAUAUUAAAAUAAUAUUUUUUUUAUUUUUAAAAAAAUAUUUUUAAAAUCAACACACUAAAAUAAUUUUUAAAAAAAUUUAAAAAAAGUUAAUUUUUACACUUUCUUCCUCUCUUUUUACUUACUCUUUUUUCCUUCCAUUUCCUUUUUUUUCCUUCUUUUUUGGUGCAACGGCUCCUUUUUAUUAUUUUUUUCUAAAAUUAAGUAUUAAUUCUCCUUCUAGUUUUCGUUAUUUGCAGAUUGUUAUUGAUAAGCAUAUUCUCCAUAUUCUCUAAUAUUCCUUAAGAACAAAGGAUUAAAAAGAGCACAUCCCAUCGAAAAGGCAAAAAAGUAUAUUGAUCCCCCAACUACAAUUCAGUUCUAAUUUAGAUCCUUAAACAAAAACAAUCGCAACCGGGUCCCUCAUCCAUUGGACAUCACCCAACCGGCCCUUGUCUUAAAACAUGAUUUCCUUGAAAUUCGGAGAGGGAAGAGGACCUAUUUUUCUUUCCAUAAAUUUAAAUGGUGGGUUAAUUGGGCUACAUUUGAUGGAUAAAUAAAAGAUAAGGGAUCCAAUUGAGAAUUUAUUUUGUUAGGGAACAAACAUGAGGAUCACAUGAUAGAUGAGGGACAAAUAUGUCUUAUGGAUCAGAUUUCAGCUUUAUUUUUAUUUUCUGUUGGCUCGUGGGAAGAAGAUCUCGACUUGAGUUUCAAGCAUAGGAAUUAACGGAAGGGUGGAUUAGGAAAAGCAAAUUUAAAAUUGUAAAAAUCUAUUUUUUUAUUUUAAAUUAAUUUUUUAAUAUUUUAUACUAUUUUAAUACAAUAAUAUUAAAAAUAAAUUUAUAAAAUAAAAAAAUAUUACUCAAACAUAUUUUAAAAUAAAAAAUUUUUAAAACCAAACAGGCGCUGUAGGCAGGGAGGGAGUUUAGGGGAUUGAAAGGUGGGACCCAAAAGCCGAGGGACACCAACGCCUGCGGGUUAGGUUUGCAGUUUUGACAGGGAAAAGUUGAAGUCUUGUGGCCACCUACCCUUCCAUGGUCUCCUUUUCUGGGUUUGCUUUUUUUAGCUGAACUCGUGUCCUUAACGUGACUUCCGUGAAUUAGAUCACACUUGGUAAAUAAAAUGUCUCCAUUCAUUGGGCCCCAUGGUAGAUUUUUCUUUCCUUUUAGUUCUUAAUAAUAUGAAGCUUCUUUUUUCUUUUUUCUUUUUUCUUUUUUCUUUUUUUUUGAGUUGAAAGUAAAUAUUAAAGCUAUAUUUGGCGGUCUGAAGAAAAUAGAAAUUUUCACCGAUUUGUUUAUUGUAAUUUGUUUUUCAUUCCUAUGACACAUUUUUUCAACCACGUGUCUCCUGAAAAAAAUAACAAAUACAAGCACUUAUGCUUUGGCGUUUUUGUUUUUGUUUUUUUUUUUCUCUUUGAAUUUUUUGGUCUUUUAUUUUUUUUAUAAAACCCAUCAGGAUUUUUAUUGAUUUUUUUUUUAAUUUUAUUUUUUAAUAUUUAAUUAAUUUUGAUGAUUUUUUAUAUUUUUAAUUAUAUAAUAAAAUAAUAAAUUUAAUUAAACCUAAUAAAGCUCGUGAUACGAAUCAUGAAUUUAACAGAUUAAUUUAAGUUAAUCUGGAUUGUUUCUAUUUUUUUUAUUUAAACUUGUUAAGUUGAUAAGUUAACGUCAAGAUAAAUUAUAUAUGAUUUAAUUUUAAAUUCGAGUUAGAUAAAUAAUCGAGUUGAUAAUUUUUAAAUUUGAUAUUUUAUAUCAAAUUUAAUAAUAUUAUCAAAAAAAAAAUUAUAACCUAAAUAUUAUUAUUUUAUAUUAAAAAAUAUUUGGUUCAACAUGAUCUAAAAAAAUUCAUUGGCAAGACUUUUGUUCGAAAUUUAAAAGUCUUCGCAGCAUUCAAAAGUUUAUCUAAAGACAAAGGAAAAAAAUUAUAGCCAAACAAUUUAUUUUUUUAGAAUAUGGUCGAAUAAUAAUUUGAUGGCAGGUGAGUUAGGAUUAAAAGUAAGUUUGUCAUUAAAAAAAAAUCACAAAAUUUGUGGAGUGUGUAAUUUAAUGUAAAUCAGAGAUAAGAUGUCAUAUGAAAAGUGUGAUAAGAGAAGGAUGUGAAAAAUUGAAUGGUUCUUAACAACAAGUGUCCAUUUUGAUCCUUCCUCUUGUACUUUCUUCCUUUUAAGUUGGCCUUUCAUGUUCCCAUGACAAUUCUAGUAAUUUAUGCCUUUUUUAUUUUUUAUUUUUAUUAUUCAUCAUAAUUUAAUACAUCUUAGUCAUGGAGUAACCCCAGUAAAACCUUUCCUGGCUCCACUGCCAUGCUGAUAUAUAGCUAUUUUUUUAUUUUAUUUAAAGUGGAUGUCCGGAUCAAUUUAUAUGUAUCUCAACUAAUUUUAUGAGUCAUGAAGUUAAUAAUCAUGUAAUCCUCUAAUAGCUUUGAGGGAACUCGAACUCCUGACCAUUAAUUAAUACACUGGUAAAUGGUUAAACAUAUCCCUUUUAAUUAUUUGUUUAAUAAAGUGUUCAGUAAAUGCAUGAUUACUGUAAUUAUUUUGCAAGUGUUAAGAUUAAUAUUCAUUUGUUUUUGUGUUUAAAAUUGAUGUAAAUUAAUUUUUUUAUAAUUUUAGAUUGUUUUGAUGCGCUAAUAUUAAAAAUAAAUUUUAAAAAAUAAAAAAUAUUAUUUUAAUAUAUUUUCAAAUAAAAAAUAUUUUAAAAAACAAUAACUACCGUGAUCGCAAAGACUACAGCGUGCUUUGGCAGUAGAUCCCUUCACCAACCUCCAAAAACUAGUUUGGUGACUGCUGACUCGAUUUUUGGUGUUAAUAAAUCCAUAGUGGAAGAAGUGAAAACCUAAUGAAUCUGCUGAUAAAAAGAAGAAACUCAUCCCAAGUAUCAUCCCAACUCCUUUGACAAUGAAGGUUAGUGUUAAAAAUCCAUGGCUUUCGUAAUGAUGUCAAUUUGAGUUGUAUAAUUAACGAAUAGUAACAUGACAGAUAGUGCUUUGUUUUCUGUCACCUACCAAUUGUGAUUACUCUCAAGUCAAAUACAUUAGCCUAAUAUAUUUAGAAAAAUUUAAUAAAUUCUUUAAUGGGUUAAGCUCAAGUUUUAAACCCACAAAAUAAAAAUAAUAAAAACAAAAUACCUACUUAUUUACUAGACAACUUCUUUGAAGUUUUAUAAUAUUCUUAUAAGUUGUAUCAAACCAUCUCCCACACUAUAAAAAGGAAGGCGUCACUUGGCACACGAGAAUCUCACUAAUCACGCCCUCUUUUUCCUUUUAUUUAUUUUUUGACUUUUCCUAUGAAUAUAUGGGGAUUAUAUAUAUAUAUAUAUAGAAACUAGAGGAGGCAGGAAUCUUAGUGGGUAACCUUUGGAAGUUGUAAGAAGUCGGCAAGUAAAUGAUCAUAUAGUUAAGAAUCCAAGAUUGAGAUGUUAUGAGGGUUGAAGUGUCCAAAUUGAGAUCUAUAUAUUCUGAAUGUUUGUGAAAACUGAAAGAAUUCCCCAUAAAAACAUCGAAAGAACUAUGUAAAAAACUCAAAAGGAAAGUUGAAUCCGUUGCACAAAUUGUUUUUUGGAUGGACAAAUUUUUUUUUCCCUUAAGGUUGACAUCAUUAUGGUUGGUCGAUUAAAAAAGUGACACACGGAGAGUAAGUCUAUAGGUAUAUUCACCCAAAAUUGAACCAUUUGUCUAUUUCAAACAAUUAUACUUUUACUCUUUGAGGCUUAUCAGGUUAGUUCAAGAAUAUUUUGUAGUUAAUGAGUUGACUUAUAAAAUUACGAGCUAGUCAAUUUAUAUUUACUGUGCAAAUUAAAAACUUAAAAACCAGUCAGUUUUUAUGGAGUAUAAAUAGUACUUUAAUUAACUUUCAUUUCUCGUAGUUAAAUCAAGAAAACCCUAGCCCACUCCUCUCUCUCUCAAACCACCGGACACCCAUCCGCCCCCCCCCCCCCCCUUUUUUUUGCUGUUUAUUAGGAUAAAAAAGCUUGGUAAAAGACAAGUCUAAGGGUUGUUACUCGUAAUUUGAUACGCAAUAUUUUUUUUCUUUUCUGAUUAUGUGGUUCCUUAAUUUUGUUAAUUAUUUGACUGCAUUUAUUGGGGUUUUAUGUUGCCAUAUGGGGUGAUGGCUGAAAUUUUGAGUUCUUCUCUGAUGAAUAAUGUGUUAAUGCUUGUCUUUUUUUGGACCCUUGGUCUUGAAAUGAUACCGGAGUAUAAACUUCCAUUGCGGCAAUUGCAUUGUUCAAGGAAUUAUCUCAUUAUUGAUGAAGGCAUCGGGAAUAUGGGAGCUAUUAGUGUUUGUUUACUCUAUUUUAUUGCUUUUACACACAAGUUUGUUUUUAGAAAUCUCUGUAAAGUUGGCUUUGUGAUGGGUUCUUUACUAAUGAUGUGCGAUGGCAACAUGUUAUAGAUAUUGAUAAAAAUUCAAGAAAAGUUCAGUAUAAUUUUGUUAGAAAAAUUUUAGUAGAGACAUUUAUUUUUUUAAAUAUCAUUUGGCUUACACUCAUGAGGAUAUAGAGUCAUGCUAACAAGUACUAGAAGAUGUAAAAAAGAUGAAUUUAGAUGUUUUGAUGAAAAAACAAGAAUCAUCUAAAAGGGAAAAAAAAGCUUUUCAAUAUAUUGAAAAAAAUGAUAAAGAUAAAGGGAAAUAAAUUAGCUUAAUUUCUAAGGAGGCAAGUUUCAUUAGCUUUGUUUUUAGAGAAUAAAACUAUGAAUUUAGGGUUUACCUAUGUAACCUUUCUUGCUCAUCAAAUCUCGUAUUUUAUUUGUGUUAUUAUUAUCCUUUUAGAUUUUUCCUGCAUUAACAACUUACCUUAUGUAGAAUGUUCUAAGGUGAUAAUAUCUUUCUUUUAACUUAAAAAGUUUUUUACUUUAAAUCUGAAAAAUCAAUUAGGGUUCCUAGUAACUGUAAUAUUAGGUGACAACUCCUUCACAUAUCACACAUGUCUCAUACCUUUUCCCCCCUCUCAAAACCAAAAAACUUCCUUUUAGAAAAGAGAGUGGGGCCUCACAAUAACUAGAGCAACAAAGCUUCCUAUCGAAUUUGUGAAUCAGGGUUAGCCAAAGAAUUAUAAAUGAAUUUUUCCUCUUAAAAUAGCUAUAAGACCUAAUUCUUGUCCUCCAAAAUAGAAAAAGUAAUUGAUCAAUCCUAAACUAGAAAAUUAUUAAUUAGGACAAUAAAUCUUAUUUAAUCCUAUAUAAGAAGUAAUUUGGCUUCUAUAUCCUUUGAUAAAACUAAGCAAGCGAAACCUUCGGUAUGCAUUCUACUCCAUCAAGAACCCAGUAAGUGUUUCAAAAGUUUUGGCCAUUUCAAAUUGACACUACUAAUUGCAUUAUUGUCUCAAACAUUAAUUUUGAAUUUCUUAUAUUUCAAAUAUGUCACAUAUCCACUUGCUAACAAGCUUAUUAUCAACAAUAAUAGUUAUUACAAUUAUAAAAUAUACUAAAACACCUAGGUAAAGGACUAUAGUCAUCCAUAAUAAUCCUUUUUUUUUUUUUCAUUUUCACCCUCCGUGUUUUUUUUUUAAUUAUAACCUUCUAUGCCAAAUUAAUGAUCAAUUUAUUAAAAUUUAUUAAGGAAAGAAAGAUGUAACAAAAGAGAACCAAUGUUUAAAAUAAAGAGAAAUCCAAUGGCCAAUCUUAAAUUCACCAGAAAAGUUAUAUACAUUCCACCUACUUUCCUUUUAAUUACUUUGAAGUCCCUUUAGUUAUUUUUUUCAAUUUUAAUUUUGAUCCAAAAUCUUAUUUUAUUAACAUUUUAGUCCUUGAGUUUGGGAGAUGAGAGAAAAACUUACUAGAAAAUGGCGAAAGAUAGAGAAAAUUGGUGAAUGGUCACUUUUUGAUGAUAAAACUAGUCAUUUUUAGUGUCAACAGAUUUCAUUUAACUUGGAGAGUUGAAUGGUGGUGGUUUCUUUCUAUAGACAUGCCUAAAAAAGUAAACAUGGUUCUGUGUAGAAUUUGUUUUAUAUUUGAUUAUUUAUGUUUUAUCGCUUUGAGGUAUUUUGGGGUUGACAAGCAGUUUAUAGACCUUUUUAUGGUGUAUAUUAGGUGUUUUUAGGUUAAAAAUAAUUGAAAAUGAAGUUUUUGGCCAAAUCCCCCUAACGACGCAUCGAUCACUCUUGGGGGGGAAAAAGAGGUCUAGCCUUAGGCUCUAGGCCCAAGCUUGCUUUAUUUUUUUCACAUACUUGGCCUGUUAAUUUUUGGUCUCUUGUUUUUUUUUUCACUUUUCAUUAGUUGUUUCUAUUGAAUUAGCUUUAUUUUAUUUUUAAUAAAUAUUGAUUUUUUUUUUUUACAUUUUUUAGCUGCAUGAUAUUUCAAAAAGAAUAAUUUAAUCCAUUGUUUUAAAAUCCAACCUGACCUCAGAAGUUGAUCCAAGACCUAGGUUAUGCCGAGUUUAAACAAAAAUAGAGGAAGAAUAUACUUGGUAUGAGCUGAUCAAAAACCAAGUUUGACAUGCAACUAGUUAAAUGCAAUCAAAACUAAAUGAUGUCAUUUUAACUUUUUUUUAAAAAAAUCUGGGUUAUCCAAUCAAAACUAGGUUAACCCACCUGAUCUAUGACUCUAGAGUUGCCCCGUGUCAACCCUUUGACCUGGUUUAAAACAUAUAGUUUGAUUUGUCUUUAAUUUUUUCAAUUAAAAAAAUAUAUGUUAAGAAUCAAGCUUCAUAAUUUAUUUUAGUUUGUUUUUUAUGAGGUUAUCACAAUGCCAAACAAAUACCACCAUAUUAGGUUGAUUCUUGAAUUUUCAAGCGUUUAUUUUUUAUCAUAUAAUUAAAUCAAAAGUUAGUUUCAUAAAAAGAACAAAGUUAUUAAUCAUAAAGGAAUCCAUAAUCUAGGUCAUAAGUUUGGUAGUUAACUCGAUUGACCCCAGUUUGUUUUUUAAGAAAAAAAGAUAUUAUCUUGAUUUUUUUAAAAUCAAACCAUGCUUUUAGUGGCUGUCAUGGUUGUCCUUAGACUUAUCAAGUCAACUGAGUUAUAUUGAGGCAACUCUCAAACAAUUUGAUUUGAAACCUAGGCUAUGUAUGAAGUUAGGCAAGGAGUUUUUAAAAUUAACACAAUAAGCUAGAUUUAAUAGCAUUAUUAAAGAGUAUCCAUGACCAUGGAGUUGCCCCAUGUUAACCCCCAGACCGGGUUUAAAACCUGUAGCUUUAUUUGUCUUUAAUUUUUUUCAAUUAAAAAGAUGUAUGUUAAAAGUCGAGCUUCAUAAUUUAUUUUAGUUUGGUUUCUAUGAGGUUAUCACGCUGUCAAACAAAUGUCCCCAUAUUAGGUUGAUUCUUGAUUUUUCGACGUCCAUUUUUUUAUCAUAUAAUUAAAUAAAAAGGUAUUUCAUAAAAAGAAUAAAGUUAUUAAUCUCAAAGGAGACCACGAUCUAGGUCAGGAGUUUGGUGAGUUAACUCGAUUAAUCCCAGUUUUUUUAAAAGAAAAAAGAUGUCUUUUUGAUUUUUUUAAAAGUCAAACCAUGCUUUUAAUGGUUGUCAUGGUUAUCUUUGGAUCUAUCAAGUCAACUGGAUCACAUUGAAAAACUCUCAAACAACUUGAUUUAAAACCUAGGUUAGACACAAAGGUCGAUCGAGAGAUUUUAAAAAUAACAAUAUAAGCCAAGUUUAAUAACAUUAUUAAAGAGUUUCUUAUAGUGUAAAUAAUUUUUUUUUUAUGUUUAAAUAUUUCUUUAUACAACCCGUUGUAUAACGGGGGCCUUAUUUACCUUGUAAGGGCCUGUUUGAGAUUGUAGUAGCGUUUGCGGUUUAAAGUGUUUUUUGCUUGGAAAUGCAUCAAAAUUAUGUUUUAUUUUAUUUUUUAAAAAUUAUUUUUAAGAUCAGCACAUCAAAACGAUCUGAAAAUAUAAAAAAAUUAUAAAAAAAAAUUAAAAUUUAAAGGAACGCGGUUUCAACCGCGUUCCCAAACAGACUAGAAGAGAUACUGUAAUUCUUUGAGAGUAGAUUUAUUAAAAGGCCCUGCCAGCUGGAUUUUGAAUCAGGCCUUUUUAGACUUGGACUAUUUUGCCUAAACCAGGUCCAGUUGUUCAGGCUGUGUCCCAAACCCUAUCUCAGAUGGGCUUCAGACGCUUAUGAAAAAAAGCUAAGAAAAGUUGUGGCCAUUUAUCCAUUCUAUUUUCUGUGGGUGUUUAAUCAAUAGGCAAAAAAUCAGCUAGACAACCACAGCUACACACGCACGCACGCACGAAAAGAAAAAAGCAAAAAAAACCUGCAGCGCAGGCCACAUUCACCUUUACAUAGACUGAAGGAUUACCGAGUACUUGUUAUCAUUACUCAUAAAGUUGAUGAACUAUGCUUGUGGUUGAAACUUGAAUGUGCUUUUCGAAAAUAUUUUUUGAUUGAAAAGUACAAAUUUGCUGGUUCUUACUUUACACUUGGGUUAUGAAAAACCCGACAGCAUCAGCUUUUGGCCACUGAAAGUUUGAGACAUCCUUGAAUCGAUUAGUUGUACUGUCAAAGGAAUUACAACUAAUGGAUUUUAAAUGUUAAUUUAAUACCAAAAUUUAUUUUUAACAAAUUAAAUGUUAAUUUAAUAUCAAAAUUGAGUUUAUUAAGGUCUUAAUAGUAUUUUUUUUAUAUGUUUUUAGUUGAAAAUAAAUGAAAAUAAGUUUUUUAUAUUCAGAAAUUGACAACUCAACUUUUCAGGCACCUGGGGUGGUCGAAUUUUGACCAAUAGAUAAUGCGACGUUUGGUAAAUUUUUAGAAAAAGGGAGGUGUAACUGCCUAACUGGCCCUUUUUAGCCAAGUUAAAAAAAACAAAGGGUAAGCGUGUUGGCCUAUAGUUGCAGGCGGAGUUGCGUGGCCUUUUGUUUUUUUUGGCCAUGUUUGUUACCCUCCCAAACCUGUAUAUUAGGUGUUUUAAAAAAACAAUUCUUGGAUUUAUUAAGAAUUUUUUUAGAUUUUAUUUUAUUAAACUCCAUUUGGAUUUUACAUUGUUUUCUAACAACUGUUCUUUUUUACAACCCAUCAUAUUCAUUUUUUUUCUUUAACUUUUUUUUUAUUAUUUUACUACAAUUAUUAUUUUUAUUAUCAUAUAAUUAAAUAAAAACUUAUUAAAAAAAACCUUAUCAGACCCAUUCGAAUCUAUAAUCUAAGUUGUGGGUUUGACAAGCUAACCUUGAUCGAUUCAAUACGUCAUCGUUUCAAUAUUAAAAACAAGUUGUCAUCUUGAAAUUUCUUAAAGCCAAGUCAUGAUUUUACCGGUCUUUCAAGUGUUUUUUUAGACUCAUCAAGUCGACGAGAUUACAUAAAAUCAACCAUUAAAGGAUUUAAUUUAAAGCUAGAACUAGAAAAGAAUUCAGGUCAGAAGGUUUUGAGAAUGACUAACAGAAAUGAAUUUAAGAACACUUACAAAGAGUCAGAGGCAACGCUAAACCAUUGCGUUGUUAUUAUGUUUUUUUUUAUACAUUUACGUUUAAAUAAUUAAGGUGUUAAUUUUUUUAGAAUUGAAAGUUGCUUUUAAAUUAAUGAUAAAAUGGUGUCUAAAAAUAAAUAUUUCAAUAAAAUUGUUUUUUAUAUAAAAAAAGCUCAUUAAUGAGACAAAGGAGUUUUUUAUCCUUAUUUUAAAUCAUCUUGGUUUUUUUCUUUUUUUGGUAUACCUUCUAAAUGCUUCUAGUUUUUUCUUAAAUAAAUGACAUAGAAAUAGUUUUUAUAUUUUUUUAUUGGGAGAUUAUUUUUUAUAAUGGAAUUUAAAUCAUUAUCCUUUUUUUAUAAAAAUGUCAUAUGAUUAAAUAAAAAAAAUUGAGAACCCUUCCGCAUGACAUGAUUAUAUCUUUAGUUGCACUUGUUUUUCAACUUCAUGGAUUAAUAUUUAGUUAGGGUUAAUAUCCUUUUUUUAUUACUAUUUAUUAGCAUAUAUAAUCUUUAAUCUAUUUUAUUAGAUAUAUGCAUUAAAUCUGGAGUUAAUGAUUAAGACUUUUUUUUUUUGUGAAAAGCACUUUAACAACGCUUUAACAUUUUUUUUUAUAUUUGAAAAACAUUUGUUUCAACUUGUGACGUAUAAAUUGCCAGUCAAUUAUGUAAUACGCUUCAUAAUUAUAAGAAAUAAACAAUGACCUAGAAUUAUUUUUAUUAUUGAAUGAUAAACUAUUAAUCAAAUCAAAGACAGUUUAUUAGUUUUUAUCAGAAAACAACCUAGUAAAUCUACGAGGAAAUAUCCUUAAAGUUUUUAUUCUUCAAAUGAAUGGCUAACACUAUAAUUCAAACUAAAUAUAAUAUCAUUUAUUCGAGGAUUUUGGUUUUUGUUAUUUAAAUUAUUAAGCCUGUCCAUCAUGUUAGCCUCCAGUGUUGUUCUAUUGACCAAUAUUUCAUAUCUUAGGUGAGACUUCAAGUAUGUCAUAACAAAGAACAAAUUAAACUCUUAUAUUUUUUUUUGAAUUCGAGGAAACCCCACCCUCCAGAAAGCGUAUUUUGUGGACCCAGAUGAGCGAGUAAAACCCCGGCUAUCCCAGACUCUUACAAGAGGUGCACGCCCUGACUCGAACUCGAGACCUGCUGUGCAGAUCUCAAACCCUUUGCCAUCACACUACACCUCUUGAGGACACGUAUCAUAUGAUUUAACCAAAUUGAAAUAAAAGGAUAAAAUCUAUCUAUCUAUCUAUAUAUUAUUGUGCAAGAACAAUGUCCAUGAAAAAAAAUACACGGGCAAAACAUUUCAUUAACCAACCUUUUAUUGUUUAAAUCAUAGUUUUGAAACCCGACCCCACCCAGCAGAUCGACCCGGGACCCGACCGACCCGGGGCCAGAACCGGGUCAGGUUGAAGAAAAAAUAGAGAAAGAAAAAACUCGGUGUGAUCGGGUUGACCCGGUGACCCGGUUGACCAGACAAGAUUAUUAUUUUACUACAAUUAUUAUUUUUAUUAUCAUAUAAUUAAAAAAAACUUAUUAAAAAAAAACUUAUCAGACCCAUUCGAAUUUAUAAUCUAAGUUGUGGGUUUGACAAGCUAACCUUGAUCGAUUCAAUAUGUCAUCGUUUCAGUAUUAAAAACAAGUUGUCAUCUUGAAAUUUCUUAAAGCCAAGUCAUGAUUUUACCGGUCUUUCAAGUGUUUUUUUAGACUCAUCAAGUCGACCAGAUUACAUAAAAUCAACCAUUAAAGGAUUUAAUUUAAAGCUAGAACUAGAAAAGGAUUCAUGUCAGAAGGUUUUGAGAAUAACUAACAGAAAUGAAUUUAAGAACACUUACAAAGAGUAAGGAGCAACGCUCAACCAUUGCGUUGUUAUUAUGUUUUUUUUUAUAGAUUUACAUUUAAAUAAUUAAGGUGUUAAAUUUUUUAGAAUUGAAAGUUGCUUUUAAAUUAAUGAUAAAAUGAUGUCUAAAAAUAAAUAUUUCAAUGAAAUUGUUUUUUAUAUAAAAAAAAGCUCAUUAAUGAGACAAAGGAGUUUUAGUUAGAUAAGUAUCCUUUUUAUCCUUAUUUUAAAUCAUCUUAGUUUUUUUUUUUUUUUUUGUAUACCUUCUAAAUGCUUCUAGUUUUUUCUUAAAUAAAUGACAUAGAAACAAUUUUUAUAUUUUGUUUAUUGGGAGAUUAUUUUUUCUAAUGGAAUUUAAAUCAUUAUCCUUUUUAUAAAAAUGUUAGUUCAUAUGAUUAAAUAAAAAAAAUUGAGAACCCUUCCGCAUGACAUGAUUAUAUCUUUAUUGCACUUGUUUUUCAACUUCUUGGAUUAAUAUUUAGUUAGGGUUAAUAUCCUUUUUUUAUUAUUAUUUAUUAGUACAUAUAAUUUUUAAUUUAUUUUAUUAGAUAUAUGCAUUAAAUCUGGAGUUAAUGAUUAAGAUUUUUUUUUAUGUGAAAAGCACUUUAACUAUGCUUUAACAUUUUUUUUUUUUAUUUGAAAAACAUUUGUUUCAACUUGUGACGUAUAAAUUGCCAGUCAAUUAUGUAAUACGCUUCAUAAUUAUAAAAAAUAAAGAAUGACCUAGAAUUAUUUUUAUUAUUGAAUGAUAAAAUAUUAAUCAAAUCAAAGACAGUUUAUUAGUUUUUAUCAGAAAACAACCUAGUAAAUCUACGAGGAAAUAUCCUUAAAGUUUUUAUUCUUCGAAUGAAUGGCUAACACCUAUAAUUCAAAAUAAAUAUAAUAUCAUUUAUUCGAGGAUUUUGGUUUUUUUUAUUUAAAUUAUCAAUAUUUCCUAUCUUAGGUGAGACUUCAAGUAUGUCAUAACAAAGAACAAAUUAAACUCUUAUAUUGAUAACACGUAUCAUAUGAUUUAACCAAAUUAAAAUAAAAGGAUAAAAUCUAUCUAUCUAUCUGUAUAUUAUUGUGCAAGAACAAUGUCCAUGAAAAAAAGUACACGGGCAAAACAUGUCAUUAACCAACCUUUUAUUGUUUAAAUCAUAGUUUUGAAACUGGCUUGGCCCGGUGAGCCGACCCGGGACUAGAACCAGGCUGGGUUGAAGAAAAAAUAGAGAAAGAAAAAAUCCAAUGUGACUCGGUGAACCUGGCAAGAUCCGGUUGUAACCCGUUGAUUUUUGUUUUGUUUUUUUUAUUAAAACGACAUUGUUUUGAUUUUUUUUUAAAUUAACUCGGCUACCCGAUGACCCAGUCAAAAUCCGGAACCCGAACCUGGAACCGAACGAGCCACCAAACCGGGUCUGAAAACUAUGUUUUAAAUGCAUAGAUGUGACCUUUUAACUAACAAGAAUGGGAGGAAGGGCAUAAACCUUAAUACAGGUGGUACUUUAAGGGAAGAAUCUAUAAAAAAAAAAAUUUGUGGAGGGGAAUAAUUCAUAAAAAAGAAGAAGAGAGAAUUACAAAACUUGCCAUUAACCCAUCACAACACAUUGUUGAAGAGUAGAAUUCAAAAAAAAAUCUUACAAUUAUAAAAUAAAAAAAGGGUAUAGUUGCAAAACAUACCAUUAACUUGUUUUUUAUUGUUUAAACGUGUAGAGGGGCACAAUCCAUAACAAAAAGAAAAAAAAAAACAACAAUAAAAGGACAAAGCAUGCUAUUAACCCCAACACAACACGUAGUUCAAGGGCAAAAUUUUUUUAAAAAAAUUGACAAUGACAAUCCAUAAAAAAAGGAGUACAUGAGAAAAAUAUAUUAUUAACAAUGUGUCAUUGGUAAUAGUGUUUGAAACCGGGUCAAUCUAUAUUUUUAAAAAAUUUAAUUUUUUUAUUAAAAUUUAAUAUUAUUUUUUAUGUUUUCAAUUAUUUUGAUGUACUGAUUUUCAAAAUAAUUUUUAAAAAUUAAAAAAAAUAUUAUUUUGAUGCAUUUCAGUAUGAAAAACAUUUAAAAAAAUAAUCGCGAUAACACUCUCAAAUAGGCUCGUAGAGAUGAUUGACAUGUGGUCUCUUGAAUAACAAAAAUGGAUGGGAAGACAUAAACUUUAAUAAAGUUAAUUCUUUAACGAUAGAAUCUAAAAAAAUAAUUUAUAGAAUGACAUAAUCCAUUAAAAACAAAUACUAGUCUAUUAACACCAACAAAAUGUUAUAAUACUCAUGAGGUGGUGAUGAAAAUAAUGGCACUAAAUUCAGUCGGAGUUAUGGAUGAAACUAUAUGUUUUUAAAAAUUUAAUUUUUUUAUUUAAAAUUAUUAUUUUUUAUUUUUGAAUUGUUUUAAUGUGCUGAUAUUAAAAAUAAUAUUUUUAAAAUAAACAAAAUACUAUUUUAAUAUAUUUUCAAGUAAAAAAAUACUUUAAAAAAUAAUUACUAAUAAAUUCCUAAACAUCCUUUAAUGUUUUGCAGUUGCAAGUGUGUGAAAAUAGUAGGGUUGGUAGAAAAACACUUAAUUAUAGAAAAUACGCCGGUUAUAAAAAGUGUUUGCCUACAAUGUUGUUAAAUAAGAGUCAUUUUAGAAAUGGAAAAAAAUUUAUUCAUUUAUAAUUUGAUACAUAACUAAUAUAAUAAUACAACAAAUUUAAUUAUUACAUUGUAAAUAAUAAAAACUUAUAAUACAUCUAUUUCUUAAAUAGCUUUGAAAACUUAAUACAAUUGUUAAGGAAUUGCUUUAUUUUUUUUAUAAUCAUAAGAAAAUAAUUUGAGUAAUUUAAACCACAAAAUCGUGUGUCUAUGUGAAUAAUAAAAUUAAAAAAUAAAUGAUGAGCUAGUUUUGAAAAAAAGGAGGAGAAAAUGCACUUAUGCUUCGUUUUUUUUUAAAACCAAAUUUCGGUGAACUCCAUUGACAAUUCUCUUAAUUAAACAGCUUUUAAAUUUGAGAUUAGAGUAAAAACACCUCCAAUUUGCGAGACUUAAAGUUUGAAUAUUUUGAACCAUACAUCUUAUGCAAGAUUGGCUUCCAUGAUUGAAGAUUUCUUAGAGACGUGCUGGUUCCUCUUCGUUGACAAAACCUGUAAGGCCUUGCGUAUUAAACAGUGGUAAAAAUUGACUUUUCCAAGAUGUGAAAUUUAGUUUGAUUAAGAAAGGAGAGAUAGCAUAAUCACUGUUUUUUCAUGGAAAAUGAUUUUUUGAUUUUUUUUGAUUUUUUUUCAUGUUUGUUUAUCAUUACAAGGGUUGAUAAUUUAAAAAUACUUUCUAGUUAAAUAAAAACUUGACUUGAUUUUCAGGAAAAUGUAUUUAUGCUUUUUUUUUAAUUUUUAUUUUGACAUGUUAUUUAUUAAUUAUAUCAAAUUUGAUCUUCGAUCUUUUGAUUGUUAUAUAUUUUAUUUUUUUUAAUUUAAUCCCCUAGAAUUUGAUUUAAUUUAAUUUUUGUAUCAACUUUGGUCCUCAUUCUUUUGAUUGUCAUUUAUUUUUCUCUUAUCAUUAUUUUGAAUUUUUUUAUCUAUCAGAUUUGAUUUGUAUUUUUUAUUUUUAUUUAUUUAUUGAAAAUAAUUUAUUAAAUUAAAAGUUUUUUUAAUUUCAUAUUUUUUCAAAAAAAAUUUAAUUAUAAGAUUUGAUCGUUAUUCUUUUUAUUGUUAUUUAUUUUAUUUGAGAUAAUUUAAAAAAUUAAAAUUUUUUUUUUCAAUUUCAUUCUUCAACAACUUUUUUAUCUGUCAUAUUUGAUGCCCAUAUUUUUAAUAGACUUGAAAAAAAUAUUAAUAAGUUAUUUUUCAACUUAUUUUUCAUGGCAUAAGCAAAUAUUGAAAAGUGUUUUCUAACAUAUUUUUUAUAACACUACUUGUAACACCCUGAGCCUUUUAUUUCAAUUUUUUUCUUUUCCAAUAAUUAUAAACAUGAGAAAUGAGAUAAAAAUUUUUUUUUGGAGAGUCUCCCCUAAAUGAAGGCUACUCAAAUCAACACUCCAAACAAAAAAAAAAUUGACAUGCUUAGUCGGGGGCCUAUUUAAAAUUGAAUAAAAUAAAAUAACAACUAACCAAUAAAUAAAAUAAAAUUGUGAAAACAUCAUCUGAUUCACAAAAUGUUUCCCUAAUUGCUGAUAAAUAUAUUCCAUUGAUGUUUUUAAACUUUCAAGCAGUGAUAGAGUGGCAGCUGAUAAUAGCAUGUAAUGCACUCAUCCUAUGUUACAAAAACAAGCAAAUGAGCAUUUUAAAGAAGAAGAAAAUAAGGAAAGCAAAUUAUAAUAUGAUAGCUACUAGAGACUUAUAUAGUCAUUAACUUCAAGGCCUGUAAAAUUAAUCGAAAUACACGCAAGCUAGUCCGAACAUUCAUAUUAAUAAAAAAAAUCAUAUCGGAAAAAAGAAAAACGAUAGUUAAUAUAUCAUUAAUUAUAACCUCUUGGAAAAACAGCCUAUUCUUGAAGUAGAUAUGAAAAUGGUUGAAAAGUGGUCGAGAAACAUGCAGGGCUGAGCUGGUUGAUUUGAAAUAUGGGGAAAAUCCAUUUCAAGUAGGAGAGCCAGAAGGGAGGAUUUAAGAAAAAAGAAAAAAGAAAAAAGAAAAAAAAAGAAGAAGAGUAUUCAGUCAUGGAGGGGUGGAGACAUGUGAGGGCAUUUAUAGUGGGGUUUUAAUGUUUUGUUUCGUAGUGCACAUGGAGAGAGUCCUUUAGGUAGGUGGGGGAAAAGCAAAGGAAAGCAUGUGAGGCCAUGUGCCCACUCCAAAGAGGCCAGCCCAGGGUUUUGGACGCCAAUCUUCGUUGUUGGCUAUGAGGGGUGGUCAGUACAUUUGCCUCGACACACCGUAAUUUGCUCUAAAAUCAUGGGAUUUACGUUCUCUCUCAUUUCCUGGGUGACGAUAGUUACGAAUCUCCUUGUCACUCCAAUUAUUUUUGUGGGCUGGCUUCCAUAUGUCAAAGUUUUUUGAAUGAGAAUGGUGCAUUUUGUGGGGUAUAUCGAGUUGAACUGGGAUAGCUAGGGUGUCACGUACGUUGGCCCCUGCAGAUAGUUAGCAUCCAAUUCUUUGUUUAUAACUCCAUGUGCUUCACUAGCUGCUCUCGAUCUAUUCCAGCUCUUGCUGUUUCUCUUUGCAUCCCUUGUGGGCACUAGAGAAGCAGCUCCUCCCUCCCUCCCUCUCUCCCUCUCUCUCUCUAUCAACGUAAUUGCAGCAUUGUUCUUUCAGGUCUUAACUUCUCAGAUUCUGUCUUUUAUGUGACAAUUCUCCCCCAGAACUAGUGGCUGCACUACUUUUACCUCCAUUUUUUCUACGACCAUCAGUUUCUGUUGUUCACUUCUUGCAUGGAGGAACAGAUGAGUGCUAAACGGAGAUGUGUAUAUCCUCUUGAGCCAAGCUUGAUAGGGCAAACAAUGUUUGUUAGGAAUUACGUGAGCCAUUUGGUUCCAGCUCUGAAGAAGAUAAAAACAUGCAGGCUAGUAGAUGACAAUUAUGGCCAUGAUUCUGAGCUAGACGAAAGUGUGAGAUAUGAAGUAGACAUGGCAUUGGUGAUGUCCGCCCCAGGGUUUGCUUGGAGUCGAGCCUUGAAAAGCAGGCUUCACAAGAAUACGAAUGCUGGUAGAUUUCAUGACUCUUCCAUCCAUCACCAUGCCUCAUUGAGACGUCUUUCAAUGCAUGGCCCAAGCAUUCUGAAAAACGAUGCGGAUAAUCAUUCCUCACCAAAUGUAACUUCUCAAAAGAGAGCUUCCCCAAGCCCUAAUGGUAAGCCCAAGAUUAACAAGAGAUUAAAGAGGGCCAGAAGCAAGAAAGAAGCUGCAGAGCAAAGUGAGGAAGAGCAGAUCGGAAGCCGGCUGGCCAGUCUAAGAUCUCUCAUGCCGGGUGGGAAUGAGAUGGGCGUUGAUGAAUUGUUUAGCGACAUGGGAAGUUAUAUAACAAGUCUUGAGAUGCAGGUGAACAUUCUUCGUUGCCUAGUGGACUCACAGUAUUAACUAGGUCCAGUAUUCAUAUAUAUUUGCAGAAAUCAUCGUGUUAAUUUUUUCAACAAUAUAGUCUACUGAUUAGUCUAUAAAUAUUGUUGUUGUAAUAUUUAGGGUUGGUAUAUCUAAAAUAGCUAGACCUGGAACUUUUUGUGAGGAGGGACAUAAAAGGGAGCUUCUAGGUUCUGUACCUCAUUAUCCCUAAAUGUGAUUUUUUCUUUCUUUCACAUCUUAUUGUAAAAUUUACAAUAUAGUAUUGAAUAUGGUACUGUAGUCCUUUAAAUUAUUCAUUUCUUUGUUGUUCAUCUCCAUACAUGGAAACUGAAUUCCAUUAAUUUAUUUUUAAAUGGCAAAGUUUCUUGCUUUCUUUUUAACACAUCAUCAUAGUAUUUGAAAAUAUGAUUGAAAUUAUUUUUCUAAAAAUUUAAAAAUAAUUUUUUUUGUUUAAAAUUAAUUUUUUUAUUUUUUUAGAUUAUUUUGUUCUGUUAUCAAAAAUAAUUUUAAAAAAAUAAAAAAAAAUUUAAAUAAAAAACAUUUUAAAUCGCAAUCGUAAUUACACUCUUGAAUAUUCCCUUAAAUUCUUUAUAUGUAGAAUUUAAGCCGUGAAACUUUUCCAGGUGUACCAAAUACUGAUAUAUAGUAUUGCAAUGGUGAAAUAUUCCAACUAUUGGCAUAAAGAUUUUCUCAGAGAGGAAAAUCAAAAUUUUAUUUUAGAAGAAGAAAAUCAAAAGUUCAACUUGCUAGUUUUUAUAGAUUGAAGAAAGGUCAGAAUUAAUUUAAUAUAAAAAAUUAAUUUUCUUGAUAUAUCCCACUGAUUUCUCAAUUUCUCCAUCUCAGUAUUCUUUCUUUUUUCUCAAUGCUAUCACCGAAAGAGAGUCAACUCACACUAUAAAAGAGUCAACUAAUUCAAUUUUCACCAAUUAAACAGUAGUAAUCACUUCAAUUUGUUCUAUAUCAAGUCUGAACUCAGCUUUUCUUCCCAACUGAGGGCAACCAAGUCAAAUAAAAUUGUCAUAUAUUUCGAAUAUUGACUGUAUUUUUCUUUAUUCUUUUAUUGAAUAUCCAUAAAAAAAAUAGUGGUUUAAUUUGAAACAAUUUGGCUUCGUUUUUAGAGUUUUUAGUUUUUUAAAUUUUCUAAAAAACUUAAUUGUAUUUUACUAAUUAAUUUGUACCUGUGUUUUUUUAUGAAAACUCAAAUUCAUAAUAUUUGUUGGGCUUUGUUGUUUUUCCAGUGAAAUCACUUUCAAACUCACUUAUAACAUAAUUAUGUAAACUACUUAUUUAAGAGAAAAUUAAAGUUAGUAAUAAAAAAUAUUUUUUAUUAGUUUUGUUAAUAAAGACCAAGGUAAGGAUCUAAUUGAUGAAAAAAUAAAACAUAGUUAAUAAAGAAAAACGUUUUGUAAAUAAAUUGAUAUGACAUGUAAAAUCCAAGAAGGUACAAUAAAAUUUACUUGGAAAUAUAUUUUAUUAGAAAAGAAACUAAAAGAGAUAAGAAAACAUUAUGUAUAUAGACACGUAAUCCUAAUCAUCAUAAUAGUACAAUUACUUUUUUGACCUCCCAAUAAAAAAACAUUGUUAUUUUUCUCAUGGGGUAAUUUGAUAGUUUCCAGUCAUAUGUCAUUAUCCAAUUGUUUGGGAUAAUUCGUUAUUUUAGCCUUGCAUAAUCAUUAUAUAAAGAUUAUAUUACCUUUAAAAAGUCAAAUUUGUUUAAAGAUCAAACGGGUUAUUUUGGUCCUUUUACUUUUUUAGAAAUGAUGUAAAUACUUGCAUACCCUUAAAAGUAAAAAAAAAAAAAAAGCAAGGGUGUUCGUGUACUUUCAAAUUUGUUUUUUUUUUAUUAAUAGGUGCAUCGAGAUUAAUUUGAUCUUUUAACAUUUGUAUAAAUAGUAUAAAUACAUCCAUACCUUUGAAAGAAAGAAAAAAACUUGCAACCAAUGAUAUUUGCGCUAGAGUUUUUGUAAUCAACAUGCUGGGUCGGUGCAAUUUGAUCAUUUUAAUUAUUAAAAAAUUAAUAAUAAAAAAUGAAGGCAUGUAUGUGGCACGCGCUAGCUUUGGGCAAUGCCCACACUCUUUGGGUGGCGUUACCCAUUGUCCAAACACUGUCUUCCAGGGUGGCGUUAAAAGCGUCUCGUUGUGGUCUUUCUGACGGCGCCAUAUGUGUGGCAAUCAGAUAAGUGGUUGGUCUACAAUUUACUUUUUUCUUCUCAUUCCUCUUUUCUCUUUCUUCUCCUUACCAAAGAAUAAAUUUUUCCUUUCAUUUUUUUUCUUGCAUCCAAUUUAAUUCUUAUUCUUUUAAUUGUUAUUUAUUUUGUUUUUAUUCUUUUUUAUUGAUUUUUUUUCUUCAUUUUCAUCCAUUAUCAUUUGAUUUGAUAUAAAUUUCAAAUUUGAUCCUUACUCUUUUGAUUGUUGUUUGUUUGUUUUUAUCACUUUUCUAAUUGAAUUUUAUUUUCAAUUUCACCCCUCAACAUUUUAUAUCAAAUUAUUUUUGAAUCAAAUUUAGUCAUUCUUUUAAUUCUCAUUUUUUGUUUGUUUUGGAGGAUUUUCUUAUUGUAUUGUUUUCCAAUUUUAUCCCGUAUCAUUUUAUUGAUUUAUAAUUUUGCUUUGUUAUUUUUAGGUUUGUUUUCUAUGGUGUUGGUCUCAGGCUCAUGACUAAAGUUAUUGGUUUUGAAGGCUAACACGGGUUGAAUUUGGUAUUUUUUUAGAUAUUUUUUUAAAUUAUUUUUUUUUCAAUUUCAUCUUUAAACAUUUGAUUUAUUGAGAAAUGAUCUUCGUGCCUUUUUUUUUUCCUUUCUAAGGGGUUGACAAGAUAACCCGGGUUGACAAGAAUAUUUUAUUUCAUUGCUUUUUUUAUCAUUAUUUUUUUAGUAAUUUCACCCUUGAAUAUUAUGUUGUUUUAUAAUUGAGAUUCAUGAUUUUAUUUAGUUUUCUUUCAAUGAGGUUACCCCGAUAUUACAAUCAGAUCAUGAAUUUUGUAUGCUAACUCGGAUGUACUUGGUUCAAUUAUUUUGAUAUGGUUUUAUGUUGUCAAUUAUUUUUAUUAAUUAAUUUAUUAUCAUUAUAUUUUUUAUUUAUAUUAUUUAAAUUAACCAAGUUUAUUAAACUCAAUCGAGUUAAUAACUCAAAUCUCGAAUAUUUUUUUUGUUUUUUUAAACACAUGCAUUGGCCUGACUCUUUUUUUGGUUGGAAACAAAUUAGGCCGGACCGCACUUGAAACUAAAAGUUUUCAUUUUUCACCAGGACAGAACAUGUUACUCAUGUAAUUACAUAUAUAAAACCACAAAGUUUUUAGUCAUACAUUUGACUGAACAAACCUUUAAAUUUAAACUAUUUAAUAUAAUAAUAUGCCUUUAUUAGAAUGGUAAAAUAAUAAAAAUAAAAUUAUUUUUUGAUAAGGGAAAAUUUUAAAGAAGGUUAAUAUUUAAUUCCAAAAAUGGGGUUGCGUACGUGUUUAACCUUUGGGAGGGAGGGAGGGAUGAAAUUCUUGAUUUUGUGCUCUUCCCUCUCUUUUUAGAAUUAAAAUUUAUUCUGGUCUUUGUUUUUUCUUUCAUUUAUAUUUUGAACCAUAAAUUAUUUAAAUUUUCUUAUAAACAGAUUUAAUAUAAAAUUAAUUCUAUUUAUAUUGGGGCCCACCAUUAUUUAUAAAUUUAUUAACUCUUACUAAACAUUCUCAAACUUCUCCCUUCAACAUUUUUUAACAUAUUCUCUCCAAAUUUUUCAACACAUACCAAACAUCACGAAAGCGCUAAUCCCAAUUUCCUAUUUACCAACAUUAUCAAUCAACCCUUACUAUCUUUCAACAUUUUCUUAAUUCCAAAAUAACAAAUGAAGUCUUUGCUCCAUUUAUUAUAUUAUUCACAAAUUACAAGUCACAAUUCUCUAUUAUCUACUCACACAAAUAAAACAGAAAAAAAAAAAAAAAACUAAAGGGCAAUAGUGUUUUACUAUGCCUUGCAAGAAAGAACAUUAUGGAUUUGCUUGGUGUUUCUCUUUUUUUCUUGCUCCCAAAGUUUUUCUCCAUUUUGAUCCCUCAAUUUGUUUUUAUUUUAAUUUGAACUUUUAACAUUGCUUUUCUAUUAGAUUAGUCAUGGUUAUUUGUUUUCAUAUUUAUGUAUAGAGGUUUUGUAGUGUCAGGGGAAUAUUUUUGCUUGGUUGAAUUAUAAGAAUUAGAGCUUUGGGGACCGAAUUCCAAUCUUGAAUAAAUAUUGAGUCCCUUUUGUUUGCUAACAUCAGGGACUAAUUUACAAGAUCAAGGUAAGUAGUUUUUCGGGUCCCUCAAUUUUUUUCUUCUAAUUUGAUCCUUUCAAGUUAAUUUUAUGUGAUGUUUGACUUAAUUACAUUUGUAAGGGGAUCUUGCAAUAUCGAGGGAAACUUCUAGUGCAUAAAAUUUAACUAAUUUAAAAUAAUUAAAUAUCGAGGGACCAAAAUUAAAACUAAAACAAAUAUGGGGAUUGGAGUACAUGUGUAGAAAUCCUUCACUGCCAUUAGACGACGUGUGAAGCGUCUUAUGAAAGCCAAACACCGCUUUCAGUAGUGGAAUUAGAAGCAUCUUGGUGUGAUUUUCUUGGUGGUCAAGCAAAUGUACACAGCGGUCUGACAUUCAGGCAUCAAUGUACUUUUUUUUCUUCUCCUUCUUUUCUCUCUCUUCUCAUCGAGUUUCAUACUCACCUACCAAAAUUUAAAGGUGUCUUGUCAUUUGUUUUUGUAUUGAAGUUGGUUAUCUUUCUCAUGAUUUCUAUUUUCUUUGUUUUUUUAUUGAUUUUUUUUAAUUUCAUCUUUCAUCAUUUGGUUUCAUUUAAUUUUUAUAUUGAAUUUGGUCCUCAUUCGUUUGAUUACUAUUUAUUUUUUAAUCAUUUUCCUAAUUGAGUUUUUUCUUUCAAUUUCAUCCUUCAACAUUUCAAUUUAUUUUUGUCAAAUUCGGUCUUCAUUUUUUUUAUUGCUAUUUUUUUUUUAUUUUGGAUCCUUUUUUAUUUAUUUUUUGUUCAGUUUCAUCUCUUAAUAUUUGGUUAAUUGAAAAUUUUGUUUCAUUAUUUUUAAGACUUUCCUUAUAUAGGGUCAGUCCUGAGCACAUGACCAGGUUACGGGUUUUGAGGAUUAGCUUGGAUUGACUUUGAUAUUUUUUUUAUGUUUUUUUUUAAAUUGAUUUUAUUUCAAUUUCAUCUUUCAAUAUUUGAUUAGUUAGGAAUUGGUCUUCGUGCUUUUUUUUUCACUUUCCUUUCUAUAGGGUUUUCCUGAUCUCGUGUCCUGAGUUGCGGGCUUAAUAAAUUAAUUUGAGUUGACUUGAUAUUUUUUUUCAUUGCUUUUCUUUAAAAAAAUUAAGUUUUUUUUUCCAGUUUUGCCCACGACAUUCCUUGUUUGAUAAUUGACCUUUUAAGUUUUAUUCAAUUUGUUUUUAUAGGAUUACCCUAGUAUCACAACCUGGUUGCGUAUUUGGCAUGCUAAAACGAGUAAGCUCGGGUCGGGAUUUUAUUUAUCCUUUUUAAAUUAUAAUUUUUUCUUUAAUUUUAUUAUUCAAUAUUUGAUUUGCUUGAAAUUAAGCUUUGAAUUUUUUUUUCAUUUUACUUUCUAUAGCGUUAUCGCAUUCUUAUUUAAUUCUUGCUUCAUUAUCAAAUAAGAACACAGAGACCUUUUAAGAACAUUUGGAGGAUAUCUUUCUUGGUAUUGAUACACAUUCAUUUUUUGAGUUAAUCAUUGUCAUUUUUUAUCGGUUUAUUUAUUUUCAUUGUAUUUUUUUAUUCGCAUUAUUAAAUUAUCUGAGAUUAUUAAAUCUAGUCAAGUCAAUAACCCAAUUCAUAUAGUAUUUUUGUUUUUUUUAAGAAUGCUUAAGCCACCUAAACUCUUUUUUAUAUUGAAAGAAAUUUGGUUCGGCCCAUAAUAUAGCACGACCCAUCAAUCUAGUUACCACUAAUUGAAAUUAAUGAAAACCCACAUUUAAUGUACACAACCUUAACAUGGAAAACAUCAACUCUCUCCUUGGCAUUGCGUUUUAAGUUGUGUUUAGGUGCGUUUCAAAAGAGUGUUUGGUAUGAAAAAACAUGAAAUCGAUGCUUUUUUUAGUGUUUUAUGAUGGUUUUGAUAUACUAAUAAAAAAAUAAAAUCUGAAAACAAUUAUCUUGAUUAUUUUUAAAUGAAAACCACGUUUGAAAAGUACAUUAUAUCACAAUAUCAAACACACACUUAAACACCACAACAACCGCAACAUCUUUCGUCACCUAGCCAUGACUCAUUAGACUUGUAUAAUAAUUAUAAUUUUUUGCCAUUGUUUUCAUCAUCCCCUUGCUUUGCACCUUCGCCUUUGACAAUCAAAGUUUUCUACUCCAUAGAUACCUUCGCAUCCACCUUGUCAAGUCCAUACAAGUCAAUUAAGAGAUAGAAAGCAUCGUGAGUGUCACACACAUCUGAACCAGGUUUACGGGAGGUUGAAAACACAAGGUUCUUAUAAAUCGAUCCAUAAUGAUUAUGGGGAUAAGAACUAGUACUUUAGAGAAUUUUGGAGGCAAGAGAGUGAUGGACAAUUGACUAUUGAAGGGUGUUUUUUUAUUAAUUUGUUUCUUUGUGUUUUUUCUUUUGUCUUUCUGGUAAUCCCUAUUAAAAAUAACUAAAAGGAAAGGUGAAAAUAUUAUUCAUCUAGACACAUUACAUUGUGGACAGGAAUCGUCUUCUCACUUUCUUACCCUUAUAAAAAAAUCUAAUUGGCUAAUGAUUGAGGGUAGAAUUAUCUGUGUAAUGGGGUCAUUUUGGUAUUUUUAAAUUGAUUCGGGACAAGACGAGUAUUUUAUGUUCUGACGACACCAUAAUUUUACUUCACUACCCUUAAAAGAAAUAACUUUUUAAGCUCCAAUUGAGGGUUAGUUUUGUAUUUUCAUAUAAAAAAAGCAUAGAAAAAUAACUUUUUUCUUCUUUCUUUCAUCUCUCUUCCUCGGUGUUAAUGCUUGCCUUAUGUUUUUUCAAAUCACCCAUUAAACUUAUCUUCCUUUUUUAUUUAGUCCAUGCUAUUUUGGUUAUUGUUUGUUUUAUUUAAAAUUAUUUAUAAAAUUAAAAUUUUAAUUCAAUUUCAUUUUCAUUCAAUUUCAUUUUCAUUCAAUUUCAUGCUUUGUCAAAUUUAGUCUCCACUUUUUUAAUUGCUAUUUAUAGAAUCUGAAAUAAAUUUUAGAAUUGAGUUUUUUUUUUUUGAUUUCACCCUCCAUUACUUUUUUCCUAUUAGAUCUCAUCCUUAAUCUUUUGAUUGUUUUUUUUUUCUUUAAAAGUUUUUAGAUUGAUAUUUUUUUAUUCGAUUUCACCCUUCAACAUUUAAUUUGUUUGGAUUUGAUCUUGGUUAAGCCCGUUUCUAGGAUUUCAUGGGUUGCAAGUUUUGAAAAUUAACUUAGCUUUAAGGGAUUUGCUCAGGAUUGAUUUGUUUUAUUUAUCAUUUUUUAAAGCUUAAUUUUUUCAGUUUCAUCUUUCAGUAUUUAUUUAAUUAGAGAUUGGGCUCUAUAUUUUUUUUCAACUUUCUGCAUCCUUUGUUAUAUCUUUUCUUUUAUUUAUUUAAUUGGGUUAUCUCGAGUCUUUUUAUUUAUUAUUAUUUAUUAAAUUUAUUUUUUAAAAUAUAUUUUAUUCUUGAAUUAAUUAGAAUUGAUUGAUUGGAUAUAGGUGGAUAAUUACUUCCUUUUGUUUUUUUUUUUUCAGGGCGUUGCUCUAGCGACCCAUACGGUUCUUUCAAUGUCAUCAUGCAACUUUUUGUUGUGGAAUUUAAACCAUCUCAGCAGGCUCUUCUGGUGGUGGGCGAUGUCCACAAUAGAAUGAUUGUGAGUCUUCAGCGGUGUCUUCUUUCUUCUCCUUUCGAGUAUGAUAUUAGCGGCUCAUUUGUUUGAGUUAAUUGUUACUAAAUGUUUUUUAUAUUGUUCGUCUGCUAUCGUUGCCUACCAUCUAAAUUAGAUUAUUAUAUUACUCGAUUUUAUUGGAUUUAGUCAAGUAAAUGACUCGAGUAACAAAUUUUUUUUACUUCUUUAAAAAUGUUAUUAUUGAUUAAGCAUCCUUAUUAUACGUUAAAAAAAAUAUAAUUAAUUGGGCCAUAACGUCAUGCAGGACAUAGAUCUAGUCUAUUCCAAAUUCCAAUUACAUUCACAUGCUCUAUAUAUUCUCUUUAUCAAUAGAGUUUUUCCUAUCAAAUAUUUUGAAUCGAGUCUUUCAGUUUAAAAUGUAAAUUCUUAAUUAUAAUAUAAUCCCUUAACUAAAAAAAAUAAUUAAUUAUUAAUUGAAGUCUUAAAAAUUAUAUUUAAUUCCUAUUUUUAAAUCUAUUUAUAAUUUAGUUUCUUUGUCAAUUUCAUGUACCUUUUCAAUUCACUGUCCUUUUUUUCAUUUUAAUAAAUAGAAAGAAUUGACGAGGAAAGAGGGAAUGGCUAGAAAAAGUACCUCUCAUAUGCGAAAGUGCAUUUACAUUUUACAAUAUUAAUUUUUUUUAAUCAGACCCAACGCACACUCUUUCUUGUCUUUUUCUAUAUAUAGUUUUUAUAUUGUUAUAUAUAUAUAUAUAUAUAUAUAUAUAUAUAUAUAUAUAUAUAUAUAUAUAUAUAUAUUUCACUUCUUAUAUUUUUUUUUAUUUAAAAAUAUAAAUCAAGAUUUAUCUUUAUAGAAAUAAAAAAUUAAGUUUUCAAUCAAAAUCAAAUCGCAACCGAUUGGAGGCAAGUCAAAAGUAACUUCUAAGCAUCCACUGCAUAACAAAUCCGAGGCCAUUAUUUUGAAUUUGACACAAUUAUUGUGAAUUCGAAAUAGUUCUUGUCAAACAAUGAAUAAUCUUGCAUUGUUACUUUUUUUUAAAAUUGGGUUUAAUAUUAUGAUUUUGGUUGAUUUGGUGCUUUGUGUUAUGAAAAAAGGUAGUAUUUGGCUAUAUAUACAAUUGCAAGGCACUAUCUCCAUAAUCGGCCAAUACCUAGUCCUCAUACUUUCAGCAUGCAGGAAGUCACUGCCCCUCCUCCCAGAAGAGGGGAGUGUUUUGCUCAUUUUUUCGUCAAAUUUGACGCCAGCUUUAAAUGCUGUGUUGUUUUCAAUUUUCAAACAUUCUGUAGACGAAUAUCAGCCCCUCGAGGCAUGAAGCCACCGAAUGUUUUUCUACACUUAAUACAAUGUUUUUCUCUUAAGUUGCUGCCCUUGGCAAAAUCAAACACUUGAAGGCUACUAUUAGCUGUUGUUUUGUGAAUACCCUUCACGUUGCUGAUGUGCUGAGCACUGGGGAAUCCGAAUCUUUUUGCUAGUCGUCACAGCAUGUCUUGUUAUAGUACACUUACAAUGAAGAAAAUGCAUAUAGCGAAGAAAUGGAAACGCCAGGAUUAUAAGAAGUUAAGCAGAAGAAAAUUAAGAUUAAAAAACUUGGAAAUACUGUGUAACCAGGUGGCAUUACAUGGCCCUUGAUAGAGCAAGAAGUAGGGAAGCACAGCCCUUUCUCUUCCAGCAGUUUAAAGCACACAAAGACAAGAAAUGUAAACAGAUCAGGAGAUUCAUACUAAUACCAUUUUCUCCCCUAUCUAGAAAAGUUUUCAGCUGUUGAGGCCUUAUCUGAUGUUCUUGAGGGUUUGUCAUUGAACUUUAGGCCUUUCCAUCUCAGGUAAAUUUAUUCCAGGAUUUUUACACGGUAUAAUGCUGCUGGAUGGUAUCAAUAUCCAAGCCCUUGAGUUUAACAACUGACUCCACAUGCCCUUUGAGUGUGUGAAGCUCCCGAAGCCUUAACAUGGAAAAAAGAAUGCUCUUAGUAAGUUGAUUGAUGACAGGAAAAUAAAAUCCAAUCUUGACUAAAUCGGUUUAGAUUGAAUAUCAAGCAAGGAAAGGUUCGAUAAAGAAUGCUCUUGGUAAGUUGAUUGAUGCAUACCUUGCAACCUCUGCUCGUCUCUUAGCCUGCUCUGCGAUUUCAGACAACUCCCUGUAGCUGCUCUUUUCAUUGAAGAUACCAGCUGUCUCAGGUGGUUGGAGCCCAUGCAAGGUCCUUUGUGCAUGAGCCCAUUGAGCUUCUCUUUCUUCUUUACCGUAAUCUUUCUUGGUGGUAAAG